rnacentral:lncRNA from 1 species
NGUUAUGGGAAAGAGGGAAGUCAGGCAGGAAGCCAACUGUUGUGGGGUUGACAGGCCCUUGUUUUAUCCUGGUGGCAGAGUUAGCAGGGUCGUCCUGAGAACAGCACUCUAGAGACCUGGCACUUUCCCAGUUUGAUAAGGGGCUGCUUUUUCAAAAUAGGCCUCACCUUCCCAAGUUUGGAGAAUAAUGUAACUCCUCUGAUCCUGUUCCUCUUGCUUCUCUUUGCUAAAUAAAAGUAUGUGCAUGAGCUUGAUGUGCAGCCAGCUUGGUUCAGGGGAGACUUCAGAGACCCCCUGGAAGAGGCAGUUGGUAGGCCCAUGGCAGCCCUUCCCCCAGAGAACUUUCUUAGGACAGCCCUGAGUACAAGCUGCAAACUUUUCCCCUUACCUGUUUCUCUGAAGCUGGCUGGCGGCUGCUACCCAUUAGUUCAAAGAGGGUGGCCAUGUGUGAGCCUAGGACAUUGAGUCUCAGUGGUUCACAGCUCAGACCAGGGUCAUCAGAGGUGCCCUUGUCUCAAUUAUCCCGUUCCAGCCUCUCUUCUACUCAUUUUUUUACAAGGAAAUUAAGAAGAUGUGUAUACUCAGCAUAAAGUGAGCAGUGAACAUGUUUGGGAUUCCAUUUUCUUAAGGAGCAAUCUCCUUAGUCCCUGGAAUGACUCCAGCUCAUGCAUGCUCCUUGCCCACCAGUGGAACCCCAGUGUGCACAACUGUUGUUGAUGUAACUACAAAGAGCAGCUCAUUGAUGCCCCCAUGCUUCUAGGAACAGGGGGUGAGUUGGGGAGUCAUCCUGAUUAGCUUAAGCCAAGAGGAAUCUGACCAUCAGUAUGACCUCUUCAGUGACAGGCAUCCUAAAAAUGUAGCUAAGGCUCGGGCAGGCCAGGGAGGCACCCUGGGCCUGCUGUUCGCAGCAUGCCCCCUGACCCUCUGGUGCUGUGGGAGUGUUGCAAGGGCAGGAGGGAGUUGGGUGAGCCAAUUGGUUUCAUUUGCAAGGAUUCAUAUUUAUUUCCUGUACUCAAAUAACCUUUUACUAGAAAAUCAGAAUUACACCUACUCAUCAUUUCAUGUUUUUAUAGUAAAAUUCUGGGGUGAACAUUUUUCCCCUUAAUUCAGAGAAGACAAAUGUUCUACAAGGCAAUCUUUCCUUCAGGUUUACCCCUAAUUUUGGUAGGUUUUAGCAAAGGGUGCACAGGCUGUCUCCCCACUGGGCCCUGGAGGGGCUAGGGACCUCCCUUGGAAGGGCCUCCUGUGCCAACUGAGCCUGUGACAUAUUGUGAAGAGCUCAGAUGGUUUGCCACAGUACAACAGCCUCUGACUUUAUAAAGGAAAAGAGCAUCCACUGGGAUGGAGAAUCCAAACAAUGUUGGGAAAAAGAGCCAUUGGUGUCCGCAUGCAUGGAGUUAGGGUCCUUUCCUUUGCACCAGUAUAUUUUUUUUUCCCCUCGUUCUGGGGAUUGAACUCAGGGAUGCUUUACCACUGACCCACAUUCCUUGCCCUUUUUUAUUUUGAUAGAUAGGGUCUUUCUAAAGUACCGAGUGGCUCACUAAGUUGCCUAGGCUGUCUUUGAAUUUGCCAUCAUUUUGCCUUAGCCUUCCAAGUUGCCCCCACACCCAGAAGCACUGGGGAUUUUGUGGAAACCAACUGGCCCAGAGAUACCCAAGCCUUCAAGAGUAUUAAAAAUAUAUGAUUUGCUGGGUUUCUGCACCUUCAUAUUUCAAAAUGCUCAGACCCUCGGGCAUCACAGGAUAUGUUCACAGACGUGUUUCGUUUUGAUUUUGUUUUCUAGAUGUUGCUUAGAGCAAAAUUUAAUGUGCAGAGCUCUCCCAUGGCCUUGGGCUGCCCGAAGCUGUUUGUUCUAAGCAGCUCCUAGAGGUGGUUAUCCAGGGCCUUAGAUCCCAUGCCUUUGCUUGGCCAGGCUCCAGGUGGCACCUGGGGUCUAGUGCACAGUCUGUGGGAUCUAACCAUGUGACCAUAUCUGUAGAGUCACCACAGGCUGGACUUUGUGGCCUCUGAGUGCUGCAGCUCUGCCCUUGGUGAAGCAGAAAAACUCAGCACACUUCCCUCAGAGCACCCUCAUUGUUCACCAAGCCCUAGUUCACUUUCUUCGCUGUGAGCUUUUCAUGCCAUUGAUGUCAUUCUUUAGUGGCAGUUUGUCGUCAGCUCAGCAUCAGAGACCUUUGAUCUCUUGGUCUUGGGCUUUCUCAGUCAUAGACUGGUCAUCAAGGCCCAGGGCCCACUAGCAAGAGUCCCAUGGUAAGGGUUUGCUGUACGUGGUUAAUGGGUCAUCUCUUUGUUCAUCCAGGUCCCAGGUGUGUGAUGGCGGCUGCAAUCUGUCUUGUGGGUAUUAAUGCGAUCUUCACUGAUGGCGACUGUACUCCAGCUGUUGUGCAAAACUGGAGCUUGCUGGUGAGUUCCAAAGGCCAGUGUCAACCAGUAUGGUCAGGACAGGCCCCAGCAUUGCCUGAGAACCCCAGACUCUGGGGUAGGGCCUCCAGUCUGGGUGCUCAUCUCUCCUGGUGGUUCAGUGCUCUGCACUGUUUUGUCCAGCCCCAGCCUGCUUAGGAAAAGUUAUCCAGGAUAGUCACCAGCCAUUUUCAUAGUGCAUCAUGGCCUUCUUAGGUAAGGCUGAUACUGUUAACAUGUGGUUAUCCAGUAGCAACCUAGACUGAAGUGUUCCACCAGCAUCUAAGCCUUUUUCUGAAAUUCAGCAUGUUGUUGGAAAUCUAUUUUAGAUGUAGUAUGUAUGCUCCCCUACUUUAUCAGUCCAAUUACAUUAAGUAUAAUUCAGCAUUUUCUUGACUCAGGGACAUUUUUAUGAGCCUCUUCUGAAAGGGAUAAUCACUUGACUGGUAUGACUGAAUUAAGUCUGCAAGAUUCUCCAGGAAUCCCUCUAUACCACUUAGUUUUUCUAGUUAGUGAUGAUUUUGGUCAUUCGUCUUCUUGCCAGUGUCAGCUGUCACUUCUCAGUCAGUAGUCUUAAAAAAUAAUAAUAAUGUACAUUCUCAGAAGUAUCCUACCUGCCAGGUACCACAUAUUGAGACUUCUGGUGUCUUUGGAAAGCUUGGCUUAGAACAACAGGAAUGUCAGGGGCUGGGAGACAGCAAUUUAUGUCUCAGCCGAAAUAAGGUGGCAGAUUUCAUUCCUAUGAUGGAUCAGAAAGGAGGCAAGAUUCCUGUUAAGGACAGAGGACCAGGUAGUGCUGCCCACAGAGGUCAUUACCACAUUUUGAGGACCUAAAAUGUGACUUCACACUCAGAGAACAGCCCCUCUUAGUGCUUGACCAGAAGUGCAGACUUCUGGUGUGCACAGCCCACCUUCCACCUGCCUGCACUUGGGCAGCUUUCUGGACAGGAAGUGAGCUACCUGCACUUCAAGUAUCUUUCCUACUGAAGUGUAUCUUCACUGACUUCAACUUACCAACAGGCAACAUUUUUCCACAACUCAUUGGGCAGCUGGUAUUUGUCCUGCUAAUCUGUGGUCUUCUGCUUUGUUAGAUUUUCCUUUUGUUGUGGUUCUUAGUAGUAAUGCCCACGUAAUUCUUGUUGGUAUUAUCACUCAAACUUUUUUAAAAGCCUUAGUUUUGUUUUAUUUCCCCUCCCCCUUCUCUAGAUAAAUUUAAAGACCAAUUAAAAGCCACCCAUGUAAUUUUUUGGAAGCAAGUUACAUGUGAUUUUUUUUUUAAGGCAGUAAAGCAACUAAAACAUCAGUCAUUAAAAGGCAUAUACCCAUGAGCCCAGGCAAGGCAGCAGCAGCAUUUGAUGAAUUCACGGCAAUGCAAGGAUCUAGUAAUGCAAGCUGAGAGGUGGGGUGGGCGACGCAGAAAAAUUUGGAAACGGGGACUAUGACUUGGUGGGAAGAUGCCCCAGAAGUGCUGGCAAAGAUGAGGAGCUGCCAGCUGUUGUGGAAGCAGGUGGGGAGGAGGGGGUGUUCAGCACUGAUGGUGUUAGCUCAGCGUGUGGUUCACCAGUUUCUGGAGCCAUCCUCAGGUUACAGAAGGGAAUUUGGAAGAAGCUAUUUCUCUUUCCAAAUUUGAAGUCAGACUACAUUGCUUAUGUGAUCGACCUUUGUAGGGUAGAAAGGACCUGGCUGAGAAGUUAGGAUCUCCAUCUGGAGCUGGGCUUUCUCCAGCCAAUGGAGUUGGAACCAUGCACAGAUGUAGCGAGCCAGCCUGCACAUACUUGUUAUUGUGGGCUGAGAAGUGUGAUAUGAGACUGGUGGAACAGUUUCUAAUUACAGAAGACUGUUCCUCUAGAGAUUCCAUAGAUCAUGAACUUUGCAUUUAAAUUUUUUAAAUGCUAAUUUGUUUUAUAUUGUGAAUUAGUAUCAGUGCUUGAUUUUAAGAAGUCAAGCUGACAGACACAAAAAACAUUCUUAGGACUGGGGUUGUGGCUCAGUGGCAGAGCGCUUGCCUCACACAUGUGAAGCACUGGAUUUGAUCCUCAGCACCACAUAAAAAAUAAACAAACAAAAUAAAGAUAUUGUGCCCAGGUAUAACUAAAAAAAAAAUUUAAAAAACAUUCUUAUUAUUAACAUUUGUAUAUGAUGUCCCAUGUUUAUUUGGAGUUGGGUGGAGGGAAAUAUUCCUUAUCUGACUUUUGGUAAAAAUGAUUAUUAGAGGGUUAAACUCUUGGGAAAGAAAUCACAAGUGGUUAGGUCAAACAGUACAUGUACAAGGGAGGCAUGGAAGGAGAGUUAAAUCUUAGCACUGGAAGAAAAAGCUCACAGUACACCUGGACAAACAGGUUUUGACUUAGUUACAGUAAGUGUCCCCUGCUCUGUCAGUCAGCAAGCAUCCUGACCCCACACCCAUAUCUUUUAAGGCACCAUUCUCCAUUGUCUUCAAAUUCUGUGUACCUCAGACAAGAUUUUAUACACAUCUCUAGGUCCUAUGCUUGCAUGUCACAGUUAAUCUCUUCCCAGGAAAGGUGCUGUGAAAAGACACCCCCCUCAGCCUGACCCUCUCCCUGGCUCACAGUCCCUUUGUGGUGCUUCAUGUUCCCGGAUGUCUUUAGAUUCUGUUUAAAAUGUCCUUGUUAAUACAUUCCAAGGUCUGAACUCCGUUCCUAGCUAAACCUCUUCCUUGUUUACAGGGACUGAAAUAGCCACACUUUGACCUUCUGUUCAGUCUGGGAACAUUGAUGGCAAUGUGGAUACAUUCUUUUCCCAUGUGAGAAUUAUAUCUGUAUGGCACAGUUCUGGAAGGCUCAGAAAAUUUUAGUUUUGUUCCUUUCUUCUCUCCUUCCUUCCAUGGUCUCCCUCCCCCCACUUCAGAAGAUCAGCUUCUGUAAUCAGCCUGUAUUAACCAGAACUUUACCUAUCUUCCUGUUCAGGCAGAUGUAUACAGAAUUGUAGUCAGGACCGGUUGCUUUAUUGCCCAAAAAAAUUGGAAAUGCCUUCUCCUCCCUGCAGCAGUAUCAGCUUUCUAUAGAAGGCACUGUUCAUUGAGGUGCUCAGGGUGCCACAGGGGUGGUGUGCACAACUGAGAUGGGCCCCCUGGGUACAAUCUCCUGGCGUUGUCAAGACUCUGACCCAAGUCUAGUGCCAUAUCCCAUCGUGGCCUAUCGCUCCUAUUUCAUCUGCUCUGGAUUCCCAGUGUUCAAAUUACAGGGUUGUGUUUUUGGUAUAUGUAAAUGACUAUAUGUGGAGUUGAGGAAGGAGUAGAUAAUUUUUGGAAGGAUUAUCCAAGAUAAUCCCCGUGAAAGCCACAUGGCCUGGACAGCGAGAAUUCCUGAAGGAGGAAGCCCUGGAGGCUGAAGGGAUCAGGAAAGGUGAGUUGUAAAAGAUAGGAGAGUGUAUAACAUGGGCGGACAGGGAGCAGGACAGAAAAGAGAAAGUACAUAGCCUGGGACAGAGCUUUUGAGGGCCUUGAAGGAUGUAUUAGGGAUAUGAGACUUGGGGAGUCACUGAGGACACUUGAGCAGGGCUUGGAAAAGGGGGGUUAAGGAAUCAUCAUUACUUUGCUGCCUACCCAUUGCAAAGCGGUUGGAGAUGCACAGUAACAGUCCAUAUACUAAGAGGUACACCCAAAGUAGUGAUGGCGAUAUUGGAAAGGAGCAGAUGAUCAUGUAGACUUAGUGUGAGAGACUGCACAGGGCCCAGGGAUGGAUGCAGGGACAGAAACUGUCAGGGCAGAAGAUGGUCUUGGCUGAAAUACCUGGGAAAAGCUGACAAGAAUAGGGAAGGAAUUGCCUACGAACCACAAGCUCGCCAGCAGCAAAAGUAGACAGCAAGGCACUGAAAGAGACACCAGAGACUCCACCCAUCCUAAAUCAACAGGCCAACUUGGGAAAGGAAACUCAUAUGGUCCACUUCCUUUGCCUGCCCAUUCCAUUUCUUCCUUUUGUAGUCCCUGAAAGCAACAUGACAGCUUUGGUUACAGGCCAUGUCACCACAGCUAGGCCAGCUGCUUUUCCACUCCAAGCCCAGAGAGGCAGCAGUAGCCCCUUCCUUCUCAGAGCACAGGGGCUGCUAGAUAAUUGUCUCAUGUGAAUUAUCCCAAAGUAAGAACCACUGUAGAGUGUUCUUCAGAAAAGGUUUCUAGGAAUCCACACAUAAACCUUCCUUUGGCUGCUUGCAUGUAUGUGGUCAAGUUUAGAAUGAGAUGGAACUUGCAGAAGAAGAAAAUUGCCCUUGUCUAUUUCUUUAGUAAGCUAGUUUCACUCCACUAUGACAUACACUCCUUGGGAGUAGAAUGAGAGGAGUUGGUACCACGUCACACUGUAAUCAGUGCACUUGAGGGGAGUUCAAGGGCAGCAAACCAGGCUUAGUAAGUGUGGAUUCACAAGGGAACUUUAGUUGCUAUAGCCCCCUAAACAAUGGCCCCACCAUAAGCCCCCUGCAACUCCAAGUCCCAACCCUGGGCUGCUUCAUACAACAUAUUCUCAGAUUGUGGGGUUUUGUGCCCCCAUCUGCUUCCAGGUAGAAAUCAGGGUGUAGCAGACAAAAGACACAGUUACCAGGAGGGGUCCUAUUAUUGGCCCUGCUGAGUGUCACAGGUGUAUGGCAUGCACCAAAGACAGGAUGUACACACCCUGCCCGGGGUAAUUUCUUCAUUAUAGAGCAUAUGAUAAGUGGUAGUUGACUCCUCAUUUCUGUGCUGGGUACCAUGGGGAGGCAAAGGAAUCAGAAAGUGAGAUUUUCCUGAAGCAGUUUACUUCCUUGUUCACUCCUAGUAGAACCUUUUUGUGGCUCAGAGAAAUCUGAGGCUGUAAAGGUGGAAAUGGGCCAGGAUCACUUGAGCACAUUACAGCUCUCUAGUUUUGGCCUGCUAGGAUUAAUUCACUUUUUACAACAACCUGAAUAGGUAGAUAGGUAGUAAGUAGCAUAGUAACGCAGUCAAGGUUCAGGAUAUUCAGAUUCCCAUUCUAGAAAACCUUGUCCUGCUUUCUCCCUAGGGAUUUCCCAUGAUCCAUGGAUGCAUGGUAUUAUAUUGGGCCUUAAGACUUGCAAGCCAUUAUUUCUACCCAUUUGUAUGUCAUCUAAAAACUAGGAUAUGGAAAGGUAUUUUGUGUGUCAAAGUUCAGGUCCAGAUGCAGCACUAUACAGUGGUGGUUUAUGGAGAAGUGUUAAAAAAUUAUUCAGUUCUCCAUGUUUGAGUGUUCACCUAAAUAUUCUGAGUUCAGGAUUUACUAAGUAAUUUCUACCUUGGAACAAUUAAGUGGUUGUUAUCAAUAAUGAUGUUUUCUUCAUAGCCUUUUCUCUCACAUAAGCAUUUCCCUGUACAAACGUCUAGUAUAUACUUAUUUGCUUUUGCGAAUACCUUUUCUACAAAUAUAAGUGAGUAUGACAUGUUGGCAAGAAACAAAGGCAUUAGGAGUUGGAGAAGGAAAGGAAAAAUAGAGGGUUUGGAGUUUGGGGGUUUUUUUGGUUGGCAGGGGGCGGGUAUUGAGAGGGUAUUGAGGAUCACCCAUAGGGCCUCAUAACUAAUGCUAGGCAAGCACUCUACCUCCCAUCUACAACCCUAGCCCUUUUUAUUUUGAGAUAGGGUCUCAUUAAGUUGCCCAGGCUGACCUCAAACUUGUGAGCUUCCUGCCUUAGCCUUCCAAGUAGUUCAGACUGUAAGUGUGACAUCACACCUUAGCAAUUGUACAAGCAAAUUGGGUAAACCAAAACAUAAUAGAUCGGAGAUGCAUAUAUGACCAGAGUGCUUAUCUGGCACACACAAGGCCCUGGAAUCAAUCCUCACAACACAAAGAGAAAACGUCCAGGACCAGCCCCAGAUAGGUAGGAGUCAAGGACUUCAAUGAUUAUUUGAAGGCCCUUGUUUUUGCCACAAGGCAAAGAGAAAGGUAGUUCUUUGCAACUUUAGGAAAGGGGACCUUUAAAAGUUUUUAUUAUGUAAGUAACGAUAAGUGGAAAUUAAAUGUUAGCCCUAUAUCUCACUGUGCUGUGACCAUUGAUCCUCUUGUGUAUGGUCUUUAUUGGGAGAGAUUGUUUACCUACAUACACACACACUCAUAAGGAAUCACUCUUGAAUUUCUCCAUGGGUUUCUCAGUCAUGGCAUUAGGAAAAAAGUACUGUACAUGGUUUUGAGGUCUACUCUGCCAACAUGUUUUCUUUCUGUUUCAGGCUUGAAAAAAACCUUGCCCAGUUUUGAUCCCUUCAAGACUUUGCCACAGCCUCUAUCACACAUCUGUUUUACUCGAAGAAAAAAAAUAUAUAAUAAAAAAUGUUUUACUCUUUUACACUGUAUAAUUCUAAGAAAUAGUGUUAUUUGUGAAUGCAUGGUGUGACAUAAUUUCUGUACAGUUUGGAGAUAUUUUCAAAUGAAACAUAAAAGAAGUCAACAAUAAAACCAAGAAAGUGAGUAUUUUUAUACCAAACAUUUUAAUUCUGACAGGAUGGAUUCUUACACUGGGUUGGAUCACAAAUUUUAUGCUAGACUUAUCGAAUGCUUGUAAUUAAAAAUAUCUAUUUUUUUCUUUAAAAUAAGCUGCAUGUUUGAGGCAUGUUUCGAAAUAGUUACCAACAUUUCCAGAAUUGUAUUGUUAAAUGUAUAGACACUGUCUGCCUGGCUGAAGUCCAGGGUUCAUUAGUAAUGUAGUGUUAGAACUGUUCUCUUCAGCCCUGGUCUGUGAUCCCAGUUCCCAUAUGAUAUCCCUACAAGACAAUCAAAGCUUCCAGGAGCUACUUUAAUGGCAUAUUCACAACUGGGCAAAGAAAACUUGGGGAGAAAUUCUUUAGACUAGAGUGUGCCCUUUGAAAGAUCUGGCAGCUCCAUCUGUGACUGUAUGAACUGUGUGUUUCAAGUUUCAUGUUUAUCUUUUAUGAGAGCUUGCUCCCCUGUGUGACUAACUUGCUGUAUUACUCACCUUCCAUAGCUAUGCCACUGCUCCUGUGGGACUGUAGUAGCCCUCACUGUGAAGGAGCACCUUGGCUUCGGGGCUGGCUUUGCCCAACUACAAUGGGCAAGCCCACAUCUGCCAAGUGAUUUUACCCAACUUUGGCUGAACUAAGCUAGUGUUCAAACAGACCGCCUGUCACAUGUUCUGGAAUCCCAGGUUGCUUGUCGUGAGGUUCCCAACUACUCUGGCACAGGGGGAACCACGGUAACCAAUGGCCAAGAGGAGGACGGUUGGGCUUCUUUCAAAAUGGUCAAAGCUAAACAGUCUUUGUGUUUUAAGGUGACACAUUCCAGAAUCUGUGACAGCUCAGCCUCUCCCCCUUCCCCUUGUAUAAAAGCCAUGUGUAAAACUAUAUUGACCUAAGAGUUUCUAACUGCUAAUAUAGCUAGAAAUGAUCACAAUCUUUCCUACUGAUCUGCUCACUCACUGUGUUGAAAAAUUCAAUAUUUUAAUGAUUAUAUGCUUGAUUUGGGGGUUUUGUUUGUUGUAUCAUUUUUCAUUAGAAAUAAAAAUAACAUUUUUAAUGGUUAUCACAACAAAGCAAAGCUAGGAGUGAGGGGCUCUUUCUUACCAACAAGAAGAAGAAAGAGGGCAGGCAGUAGCCUAGAGGCUCCUGAUAGAUCUGCUUGGGUGUUUAGGGAGGGUCUAUGCCCUCAGCACCACUUAACUCUUGGUGAGACUCCUGUAUUUGAUUUUAAGGAAAACAAAGCCACUUCACUAUUAUGCUUUUUUAAACUGUUUGUUUAAAGGUACUUUUCUAUUGUUAUUUUUAAAAAAUAAAGUGCUUAUUCCAGCUAUCACACCAUUGCUUGACAA